UUUGGUGGAAAUUCAAUUGAAAAACAUAAAACCUAGUUUAUGGCAGGAGGGUCAUUGAAAAUAUUUUGUAAAAUUUUAUAAACAUACAAAAUAGCUGCUUCAUUCAAACUACAUAACAUAAUUCAACUGAAGAAAGUAUUUACAAUUAAACUGAACACAUACCACUCAGAGUCCAAAUAUAAGGCUUCAUAAUUUGGUUGGCUUAACUCGUCUGAGCUCAACAGAUAGCACCGCACGUAUUUACUAGAUAUUAACCUAAGUUAACCUUCACUUACAAUCUCAAACUCUUAUAAAAUGAAUUAAAAACAUAUUUCACAAAAUUAAUAAUCUUGCAAUGUCACUCUGACUCACACAAAUUCUUGUAGACCAAAAUGGCCCCAAUAUGAAUUACUGGAUGCAAAAAAGCAGGGAAAUAUGAAAAACUUACAAUUUGAUGACGAUUUCUGCACCUUUGGAGCGGAUAAAGCAUAUGCCCAUGAAGAAGUUUAUUGAAAUUCAAUAUUCUCCUGACAUAUAUUGGUCUUCUGAUUCCACUCCGAUUCCAAGAAGUUGAAGUUGUUAAGAUUGCCGAAACGCUCACCUUUAAUUCCCGUUGUGGAAUUUGUUUCAUACGCUUUGAAGCGGAGAGCAUUUUCGCGGGGUUGCUAGAAAUUGUAUUCGGUUCUUCUUGGGUAUAGGGUUUAAGGAACCCAAAUGAAGCUGGAACUAGGGUUCCGAUUUCGGGGUAGCGGUGUUUUUCCCCUGGUGUGAUGGGCCUUUCGGUGGUCACUUCAUACUCGCUUUUUCUGUAAACCUGCUUGAUUCUUCUUGCUCCAGGGGAGAGGGGCUUGUAUAAGGUUGUGUUUGGCUGAACUUCCAAACUACCAAUUCCGCUGUUUGGU
rnacentral:lncRNA from 1 species